rnacentral:rRNA from 1 species
GCGGCAACAGCUCAAAUUUGAAAUCUGGUCCCCAGGGCCCGAGUUGUAAUUUGCAGAGGAUGCUUUUGGUGAGGUGCCUUCCGAGUUCCCUGGAACGGGACGCCAUAGAGGGUGAGAGCCCCGUCUGGUUGGAUACCGAGCCUCUGUAAAGCUCCUUCGACGAGUCGAGUAGUUUGGGAAUGCUGCUCUAAAUGGGAGGUAUAUGUCUUCUAAAGCUAAAUAUUGGCCAGAGACCGAUAGCGCACAAGUAGAGUGAUCGAAAGAUGAAAAGCACUUUGAAAAGAGGGUUAAAUAGUACGUGAAAUUGUUGAAAGGGAAGCACUUAUGACCAGACUUGGCCCCGGUGAAUCAUCCAGCGGUUCCCGCUGGUGCACUUUGCCGGGGUUCAGGCCAGCAUCAGUUCGCUCCGGGGGAUAAAGGCUUUGGGAAUGUGGCUCCCUCGGGAGUGUUAUAGCCCAUUGCGUAAUACCUUGUGGCGGGCUGAGGUUCGCGCUUUAUGCAAGGAUGCUGGCAUAAUGGUCAUCAGUGACCCGUCUUGAAACACGGACCAAGGAGUCGUCUUCGUAUGCGAGUGUUCGGGUGUUAAACCCCUACGCGUAAUGAAAGUGAACGCAGGUGAGAGCCCUCCAGGGCGCAUCAUCGACCGAUCCUGAUGUUCUCGGAUGGAUUUGAGUAAGAGCAUACGGGGCCGGACCCGAAAGAAGGUGAACUAUGCCUGUAUAGGGUGAAGCCAGAGGAAACUCUGGUGGAGGCUCGCAGCGGUUCUGACGUGCAAAUCGAUCGUCAAAUAUGGGCAUGGGGGCGAAAGACUAAUCGAACCUUCUAGUAGCUGGUUUC